rnacentral:tRNA from 1 species
GGGGUUAUAGCUCAGUUGGUAGAGCGCUUGCUUAGCGUAAGCACUACGGUAGUUUGCAUGAGGUCUUGGGUUCAAUUCCCAAUAACUCCA